rnacentral:rRNA from 1 species
CCUACGGGAGGCAGCAGUGAGGAAUAUUGGUCAAUGGCCGUAAGGCUGAACCAGCCAAGUAGCGUGAGGGAAGACUGCCCUAUGGGUUGUAAACCUCUUUUAUGCGGGGAUAAAGGUGUCCACGUGUGGAUGUUUGCAGGUACCGCAUGAAUAAGGACCGGCUAACUCCGUGCCAGCAGCCGCGGUAAUCCGGAAGGUCCGGGCGUUGUCCGGAUUUAUUGGGUUUAAAGGGAGCGUAGGCCGGUCUUUAAGCGUGCCGGGAAAUUUUGUGGCUCAACCAAGAGAGUGCGGCGCGAACUGGAGACCUUGAGUGCGCGGAGGGCAGGCGGAAUGCGUGGUGUAGCGGUGAAAUGCUUAGAUAUCACGAAGAACCCCGAUUGCGAAGGCAGCCUGCUGCAGCGUUACUGACGCUGAAGCUCGAAAGCGCGGGUAUCGAACAGGAUUAGAUACCCUUGUAGUC